AUACGGAGGGUGCAAGCGUUAUCCGGAAUCAUAGGGUUUAAAGGGUCCGUAGGCGGACUAUUAAGUCAGAGGUGAAAUCCCACAGCUCAACUGUGGAACUGCCUUUGAUACUGGUAGUCUUGAGUUAUAUGGAAGUAGAUAGAAUGUGUAGUGUAGCGGUGAAAUGCAUAGAUAUUACACAGAAUACCGAUUGCGAAGGCAGUCUACUACGUAUAUACUGACGCUAAGGGACGAAAGCGUGGGGAGCGAACAGGAUUAGAUACCCUAGUAGUCC
rnacentral:rRNA from 1 species